GGGGAGUACGGCCGCAAGGUUAAAACUCAAAUGAAUUGACGGGGGCCCGCACAAGCGGUGGAGCAUGUGGUUUAAUUCGAUGCAACGCGAAGAACCUUACCUGGUCUUGACAUCCACAGAACUUUCCAGAGAUGGAUUGGUGCCUUCGGGAACUGUGAGACAGGUGCUGCAUGGCUGUCGUCAGCUCGUGUUGUGAAAUGUUGGGUUAAGUCCCGCAACGAGCGCAACCCUUAUCCUUUGUUGCCAGCGGU
rnacentral:rRNA from 1 species